rnacentral:rRNA from 1 species
CAGUCGCCGCGGGAAUACGAAGGGUGCAAGCGUUAAUCGGAAUUACUGGGCGUAAAGCGUGCGUAGGCGGUGAGUUAAGUCUGCUGUGAAAUCCCCGGGCUCAACCUGGGAAUGGCAGUGGAUACUGGCUCGCUAGAGUGUGUCAGAGGAUGGUGGAAUUCCCGGUGUAGCGGUGAAAUGCGUAGAGAUCGGGAGGAUCAUCAGUGGCGAAGGCGGCCAUCUGGGACAACACUGACGCUGAGGCACGAAAGCGUGGGGAGCAAACAGGAUUAGAUACCCCAGUAGUCCCUGUCUCUUAUAC